UAGGGAAUCUUCCACAAUGGGCGCAAGCCUGAUGGAGCAACGCCGCGUGAGUGAAGAAGGUCUUCGGAUCGUAAAACUCUGUUGUUAGAGAAGAAUAUACGAGAGAGUAACUGUUCUUGUAUUGACGGUAUCUAACCAGAAAGCCACGGCUAACUACGNGCCAG
rnacentral:rRNA from 1 species